UUAGUUGUAAUUGCAAAGUGUUUGGUGAUUUUUGUUUUUGACUUCAUUUUUGUAAUGGACCAAUUUCGGAGUGCGAAAAAGUGUUAAUCCUUGUGACCUCUCAUGUUUCACCAAUAACCUCCUGGUGUAUGUUUUGUUGCAUUUCUACAAUUGGAUUUUUAUAAUUAACUAUGCCAAAGUCAUACUUAUUUGCUGGUCUACUUUCUAUUAUAAUGCUAUGAGGCUAUCUAUUUCUCAAAAUUGCAUAACUAUUCGCUCAUGUUUACUUACAAAUGUAUUGUAUUAUUUUCCUUAAUUAUAAUACAAAUAUGAAUAACGAUAAUUUUGUAUAUGAAAGUUACAUCAUUAAAUGUUUUCAAUUUUGGAAAGUAAAAAAAUGCAAUUGAACAA